UACGUAGGGUGCAAGCGUUAAUCGGAAUUACUGGGCGUAAAGCGCACGUAGGCGGCUUGGUAUGUCGGGUGUGAAAUCCCCCGGGCUCAACCUGGGAACUGCAUCCGAAACUGCCUUGCUAGAGUAUGGGAGAGGGAAGUGGAAUUUCCGGUGUAGCGGUGAAAUGCGUAGAUAUCGGAAGGAACAUCAGUGGCGAAGGCGACUUCCUGGACCAAUACUGACGCUCAGGUGCGAAAGCGUGGGGGAGCAAACAGG
rnacentral:rRNA from 1 species